AGGUUAUUGAAGAGUGAAAAAAUUAUGUUUCUUUCAGUAGCUGUGGUUUUAGUCCUUUAAUCUUUCAUCAUUCUUUUGUGUCUUGGUUACAUUUCUUUAGUAGAAACAAGAUGGAAUUCCAUCUGAGUCUCUUUUUCCUUGGAAGGAAAAGAGGGAGGGCAGAGACCACAAAAAUUUGUUGGAGGAGAAAUAUUAUACCAAGGGCCAAUGAGGGAAGAUAGUAUGUGAAGUUUAGUAUCAUCCCUAAAUAAUGGAGUCCCAAUGGGAUGGAAGAAUAAAGAAAGAGGACAAAAUAGCCUUCGUAGUGGAUCAUUUGUUCAGGAAGAUUCCUUGAGUCCUUUCUAACCAAAUUAUCCCAUAUCCUACUUAGCUUUCUUUCCAUCAACCAAAGGGAUUUAAGAAAGGAGCCCAGUCUACCUCUUACUUCCAAUGUUUUCAACAAUAUCGAUCAGAGUUGCUUCAUAAAUGGACACAGCAACAAGAGAGUAUCGAUGGUUUCCUGAGA
rnacentral:lncRNA from 1 species